UACGAAGGGGGCUAGCGUUGCUCGGAAUCACUGGGCGUAAAGCGCACGUAGGCGGCUUUUUAAGUCAGGGGUGAAAUCCUGGAGCUCAACUCCAGAACUGCCUUUGAUACUGAGGAUCUUGAGUUCGGGAGAGGUGAGUGGAACUCCGAGUGUAGAGGUGAAAUUCGUAGAUAUUCGGAAGAACACCAGUGGCGGAAGGCGGCUCACUGGCCCGGUACUGACGCUGAGGUGCGAAAGCGUGGGGAGCAAACAGG
rnacentral:rRNA from 1 species